rnacentral:misc_RNA from 1 species
UACAGAGGCCCCAAGCGUUAUCCGGAAUCACUGGGCGUAAAGGGUGUGUAGGCGGUUUAGUUAGUCUUAUGUUAAAGCCCGAGGCCUAACCUCGGAAUCGCAUAGGAAACGGCUAAACUAGAGAAUGUGAGAGGUCUGUGGAACUCAUGGUGUAGGGGUGAAAUCCGUUGAUAUCAUGAGGAACACCAAAAGCGAAGGCAACAGACUGGCGCAUUUCUGACGCUGAGACACGAAAGCGUGGGUAGCGAACGGG